rnacentral:rRNA from 1 species
UACGUAGGGUGCAAGCGUUAAUCGGAAUUACUGGGCGUAAAGCGUGCGCAGGCGGUUGUGCAAGACAGGUGUGAAAUCCCCGGGCUUAACCUGGGAACUGCAUUUGUGACUGCACGGCUAGAGUGUGUCAGAGGGGGGUAGAAUUCCACGUGUAGCAGUGAAAUGCGUAGAUAUGCGGAGGAACACCGAUGGCGAAGGCAAUCCCCUGGGCCUGCACUGACGCUCAUGCACGAAAGCGUGGGGAGCAAACAGG